GAUGAACGCUAGCUACAGGCUUAACACAUGCAAGUCGAGGGGAAACGAUAUUGGAAGCUUGCUUCUGAUAGGCGUCGACCGGCGCACGGGUGAGUAACGCGUAUCCAACCUGCCCAUCACUUGGGGAUAACCUUGCGAAAGUAAGACUAAUACCCAAUGACGUCUCUAGAAGACAUCUGAAAGAGAUUAAAGAUUUAUCGGUGAUGGAUGGGGAUGCGUCUGAUUAGCUUGUUGGCGGGGUAACGGCCCACCAAGGCGACGAUCAGUAGGGGUUCUGAGAGGAAGGUCCCCCCACAUUGGAACUGAGACACGGUCCAAAACUCCUACGGGAGGCAGGCAGUGAGGAAUAUUGGUCAAUGGACGAGAGUCUGAACCAGCCAAGUAGCGUGCAGGAUGACGGCCCUAUGGGUUGUAAACUGCUUUUANAAGGGAAUAAAGUGGGAGUCGUGACUCUUUUUGCAUGUACCUUAUGAAUAAGGACCGGCUAAUUCCGUGCCAGCAG
rnacentral:rRNA from 1 species